rnacentral:tRNA from 2 species
GCGCCCGUAGCUCAAUGGAUAGAGUGCCUGCCUCCGGAGCAGGAAGUUGGAGGUUCGAAUCCUCUCGGGCGUA